rnacentral:rRNA from 1 species
GACGAACGCUGGCGGCGUGCUUAACACAUGCAAGUCGAACGGAAAGGCCCUGCUUUUGUGGGGUGCUCGAGUGGCGAACGGGUGAGUAACACGUGAGUAACCUGCCCUUGACUUUGGGAUAACUUCAGGAAACUGGGGCUAAUACCGGAUAGGAGCUCCUGCUGCAUGGUGGGGGUUGGAAAGUUUCGGCGGUUGGGGAUGGACUCGCGGCUUAUCAGCUUGUUGGUGGGGUAGUGGCUUACCAAGGCUUUGACGGGUAGCCGGCCUGAGAGGGUGACCGGCCACAUUGGGACUGAGGUACGGCCCAGACUCCUACGGGAGGCAGCAGUGGGAAAUAUUGCACAAUGGGCGGAAGCCUGAUGCAGCAACGCCGCGUGCGGGAUGACGGCCUUCGGGUUGUAAACCGCUUUCGCCUGUGACGAGGCGUGAGUGACGGUAAUGGGUAAAGAAGCACCGGCUAACUACGUG